rnacentral:lncRNA from 1 species
AGCUCAUCGUAUUCGUAUCACACACCAGCAGCCAACUCCUGCAACUUUCUCUACAAAUUAUUCUACACGUACGCAUUUUCAUUUCACGUGAGCUUUUCUCAUACUUUUAAAACUAUUGACUUUAUAAAUAUUAGUAUUGUGUUGUUUACUAAUUUGUAUAGUAUGGUAUGGCAAGUUGAUUGUUUUCCUAUACCAAUAUUGUUGUGAUUGAAACCUCAACACACACAAAGCCUUGCAUAUUCGUUGCACUUUGACUCACACAUAGCUGGAAUUGACCCCCACCAUGCUUUCCUGCCUUCACCCUCCUCACAUAGCUGGAAUCUCGUGGUCCAGCGGGUGCUCCGGUUGCUGAUGCGGGUGCUCCAAUCGGGGAUGUAGCGGAUGCGUUUGAAAUUUUACCGGAAUAUUUAGCUUAUAAAUUGGCGAGUAAAAUGGUACAAAAAGAUGGAGGAGUUCUUUUUUUUUUGAACAAGCAAGAUGGAGGAGUUCUUGAAACAUCCAUGAUUGUAUAUGCACAAGUUUCAAUAUUGUGAAUAUCCAAUAGCUUAGCACUUGAUCAUCCCUACUUUGACCGUCUCAACAAGUUUCAAUAUUAUUCGUUAUUAUUUUGUAACAUUUCCUCGCCAUCUUGGUGAUGCCAUGUUUGUUGAAAAACUUAUGUUUGUGCAUUUUUUAGGGUGUUUGUUGUUUCACAUACUUGACUUGUUGGUCAUUUUCAAGAACUCAAUUUAGUUUAUGCAGUUGGAUUCUAUCCAAAUUAGUAAUUGAUAAAAAAACCUCUACAAAAAUUAGUAUUUGUUUAAUAGAAAAUGUUUAAUUACAGUUUUGGUCCCCUAUUUUGAUAAAAACCGC